GGCCCCAUCGUAUAGUGGCUAGUAUGCCGGGCUCUCAACCCGGAGGCGGGGGUUCGAUUCCCCCUGGGGCUACCA
rnacentral:tRNA from 1 species